AAAUAUGUCCUUUGGGUUUUCUGAACUGAAUAUCAUGCCCUGGUGCUUGAAAUCACAGACCCAGGUAACAGCUUUUGUUUUCCUGAGGAGACUGUGGAGCCUCCAUCCCUGGAAAUACUCAGAAGCUGUCUGGACACAGUCUUGAGCAGGGAGUUGAACCAGAUGACCUCCAGAGGUCCCUGCCAACAUCAACCAUUCUGCCAUCUCUGUGACUUGUAAUGAGAAUAAAAGCAGCCUGAACAAGAUGUUUUGCCUCAGCCCUUAAUGAAACUGAAUUUAGCUCGUAGUGAAAGAAUUCUGGUGACUUUCCUCUAGCAGAUCUCCA